rnacentral:misc_RNA from 1 species
GAUGAAGAACGUAGUGAAAUGCGAUACUUGGUGUGAAUUGCAGAAUCCCGUGAACCAUCGAGUCUUUGAACGCAAGUUGCGCCCGAAGCCAUCAGGUUGAGGGCACGUCUGCCUGGGCGUCACAUAUCGUUGCCCAAUGCCUAUUGCAGUGCAAUAGGAAUUUCUAGGGCGAAUGAUGGCUUCCCGUGAGCGUUGUUGCCUCGCGGUUGGUUGAAAAUCGAGUCCUUGGUAGGGUGUGCCAUGGUAGAUGGUGGUCGAGUUAGAACGAUACCGAUCAUGUGCAUGCUCCCCAAAAUAUGGCCUCUAUGACCCACACGCGUCUUUUGACGCUCAUGACGAGACCGCAGGUCAGGCGGGGCUACCCGCUGAAUUUAAGCAUAUCAAUAAGCGGAGGA